AAUAGCCUUUGUCUGACUGCUUUUGGCUACAGAACUGACAGGACACCAUUGAUGGAGACUAUUCAUCACCAUCCGGUGAUAUUUCCCAGACACAAAAUGACCCACUCUGCUUAAAAUGCGUCUAACUUAUCGCAACAAUUUGAGGAAGGGAGUGGGUUGCAGCGGAGGGAAAGGAGGUGGGCCGCGGCAGAAGAAGAAGAAAAAAAGAAAACACAUGUGAGAGGGAGAAAAAAAAAGAAGAAAAAAGACAACGUGUGAAAGGAGAAAGAAGAGGAAAAUUAAGAGAUAGCGUGUGUGAUGAGCAGACAGAGCAGAAAAAAUGAGAAGGACAGGGUGAAUCUUCACUUUGUAUACAAAUGACCGUUAUUGUAUACGAUGACCCUGUGUAUAUAAUGAUCAUACAUACAUAAAUUUCUUUUGAUCUAAAAUUUAUAAAAUUGUCCUCCAUUUUUUUUUCU